CGGUGCCUGGCCGGACACAUCCUCCGGUGGUGCGGAGGAGAUGGGCGCCGCCUGGGAGCAGUGCCAGCCGCGUGGGAGGGCACUGUCGGGCGGGGCGGUCAGGGGGGCCCAACGAGGCUGACUCCAGCGGGACUGCGAGAGCGACAGGCAGGUGGACGCACUCACACAGCCUGAGAGUGAUCGAGCGAGUGAGGUAGACGGAAAGAGAGAGAGAGAGAGAGAGAGAGAGAGAGAGAGAGAGAGAGAGAGAGAGAGAGAGAGAGAGAGAGAGAGAGAGAGAGAGCACUCAGUGGGCAGAGAGAAAGAGAGAAGGCGAGGGAGGGACAGGACAGGACAGCCCCGCACACUUGCUCCCUGCAGUCACCUCCGCCCACCCAACCCCAAGAAGUGGCCAGAGCGCAAAGUAGCAGAGACUCUUGCGAGCUCCCACAAUAGGAACCUGGUCCCGGAAUUGCUGGUGGGACCGCAGGACGUGGAGGGACAGACAGAUCAGCGCAAGGAUUGGCAACAGGAGACAGUGGCUACUCCCGAGAGAGGAGCCGAGCAAAGCCGGGACGCCGCACCGCCCCCCCCCGGCCCCCCACGCCCCCAACACACACCCUUCCUAGUGCGGACAGACUGACAGACAGGCAAACAGACAGCAGCCUGGAGUGGCUUGCAGGCUCUCUAGCAGCGACGACCUCCAAGCGUCCGGAGCGGCAACGACAGUCCGUCAGCCGCAGCCACGCGGUCCCCACCAGUGCUGUGUCUGAGCUGCGCGAGGACCCCUGCCUCCAAGCCGAGGGCUCCUUUCGCUAGCAGUUAAAUAAAUCGACCAAACAACAGAGGCAAGCAACAAACCAAACCGACCCAACCAAAGCAUUCACUGAGAAACAAUAAUUAUUCACAAAGCCCCAAAGGAAGUCCAGUCAGUCAAGGCACCGGGACGCUGGGUAACUCCACUCUGUUCCUUCAGGUAAAAUGCCAACUCUUCCAACGGGGAGAUUGCACUCCUUUUGUGUCUCACUGUUGGGGCUUUCUGUCUCUGCCCCCUCCCCUUCUUUCUACCAUCUAUGUGUGCUUUCCCUUCGAACUGUUUGUGUCUCUGUGUUGUUUAUCUCCCGUUUCUAUGUCUCGCCGAAGGCAUGGGUGGACUUCCCUUCCCCAAAAUCAGGCAGAAAUUAAAAGCUGGGAAGGGAACUGAAAGGGGCAAUGCUUUUUGAAACAGUUUCAGUAAUUUUAUGUGGGUUUUGUGGUGCUAAGUUUGGAAAUACUCUCCUAAUUCAGUUGGAAAAGAGCUGUGGAGAAAAUGGAAAGUUGUCACUUUCUUCUGUCAUCACAGAGGUCCUGGGUCCCAAGACGUUGGAAGGAGGAGGAAGGAGUAAUAAUAUUUUUGUUUUAUUUUUAAAAUCUUGACAUCAGUUUCAUAGCAGCCUCCAAUUUAAGGGCGGAAGUCUCAGGUGAUAAAUGCAGCAGUAAGAUUGAAUCUGAAUUAGGCGAGUGUUUAAAAAAGUUUCUUUGGAAGAGAAAUUAUGAAUUGUUGUUUAUGUCUCAGAUGUGUUAAGUUCAAAGCUUGAUCACCUUCUUUAGAUACAGAAUAAGGCCAGAGUGUAAGUUUAAAGGGAAAGAAAAGAGGAAAGUUAGGGGAUGGUGGGAUGUGGGGUGCAAGCCAAGGCUACUAGAAAUGGUCUCCCUAAGAAUGUGUUUCAGAUGGAGACAAUCAUUUCCCUGUCUGACUUCUCAAUCUCCCCCAGCUUCUGCAUGCAAGAAUGGCAGUCUCCAGAACUGAAAAUGAAUAGUUUUUUUUUUAAUUUUUGCUCCAAUGCAGAAUAAAUCUAAAGUGUGCCCACCCCUUCCUCAUCUGCCUUGGAGAUCAAAUCUGCUGUUACCACUUUAAGUAAGCAGAGAAAGAGACGAGACAGGCAUUCUUUUUUAAUUCUGUGAAAGUCAGAAAGCCUUUGAUACACACUUCAGCACUAGCACGUCCUCUCCUCGCCUCUUCAGUAUUAUGUUACCAUAGGGCUGGGGUGUCUGAAUAGCAUUUCAGCUAAUCUUAUUUUCAUGGGAAGAAAAAAAUACAGUCAUUUGGAAGGCACACACUCUGGUUAUGAGUCGUUCAAACAGCGGAGUGAUCUUAAUGCGGGGCUGCCUGUGAGACCCUGUCUUGUCAGGGUUAUGUAGCUCUUCAAGGUAUGUAACUGCUUAUGCUUGAUUCUCAAUUUCCUUUGUCCUCAUCUUCUUUUACUUUUUAAUUGUUUUGACUGUCAGGUUAUUUUUUUAUGUUUCUAGAGAACAAGUCUAAAUGCAUUUAGAAACACUUUGGUUUCAUUAUUAAAGACUGGAAAAGAUGAUCUCUUGCUGUAUGUGCUUGUCUAUAUUAUCAUCAUUUGGUUUCAACAUAAUUUUAAAGACAAUGUUUUGGACCAUCAUGUUAUACCUGCCUUAAUUCCUCUCUGGGUAUGAUUUAUGUCACUGGAAUGAUAAAGUAACUAUUACUCAUGGUGAAUGCUUAUUUAACAGGGCUUUCUUUGGGUGAGGCAUAUUUAAAGAAACUUACAUUGCUCUGGGGAAUGCCUUUAGGUUUCUCGGUGACUUAAUUUGACUACAUAGGCAUUUCUUUUCGGUGAUAUUCAGUUCAGAUCCAGACAAGUAAGCGUGAGUGUGUGUGUGUGUGUGUGUGUGUGUGUGUGUGUGUGUGUGUUAUGAGAUUCUUAAAUUGCCAAUCUUCCACUGACUGCUUGUAGUAGAUCCCAGUUGAGUGUGGUUACCCUGAGAACUGUAGCAAUCGCCCCAUUAGAGCAUGCUGCACAGGGGAGUUCUUUACAGUCUGUUUUUAAUGCUGUUUAAUGAAGGAUCGGGCACCUCACUCUGCAAUGAGAGAAGCAGGAGAAAAGACAGAGCCUGUGAGGCUGUGAAGACUGCAGAGCAGAGGGGAAUGGAAAGGUAAAGACAGGCUACAGAGGCGGGCAUUAGAACCCGGCCCUCAUAUCUUAUGAAUGGGAAUCCAAUGGUCUGGGGGAGAGAAUUCUCUGACUGGUUGACUAGGUGUUCCUUUGACUUCUUCACUGGUUCUUAGAAAGAAGACUCAAUAAUUUGAGUUCCUUAAAACUUGAAGGAGAUGCUAACUGGGGACUUCCUGUGUGUCUACUAUUUUUAAUACAGACUGUGAGAAUGUUGGGUAAUGAAUGCAGAAAUAAUUUCAAGUUCCUGAGUCGUUGUUCUGCUGUGGCAGAUGGGUUGGCCCUUAUGAAACAUUCUGAGAUUCAAAGAGCUAUCAUCAGAUGCGAUGGUAAUCUGAAUUUCUGCCGUGGGAAUUGUUUAAUUUUUUGUCAUGGGCUUGAAACUUUGCUCCAGAAUUAUAGCAACUAAGGGAAGCAGGGAGUUUUAGAUGGAUUUGAUAGAAUAUUUGGGUUGUUGUUUCCUUUUUAAUUUGAGGUAAACACCUCAUGCUUAUUUUUCUAAAGACGACAUACUUUAAAAUGUGAGUCUUAGACAUAAAAAGCAUUGAUAGCCUUUUGAAUGUUAUCCUUGGGGGCACAUGAUAGCAUGCAAGAUACAAGAAGAUGUCUGUCUGUCUGUUUUGCUGUCACCUCCACAGGACACCUGUCUUAAGGCACCAAGUGGGGAUGUUCAAUCAGUAAGGUGUCUUGCUCAUUUUAGUAUUAACAGCAUGGCAUCAUCAGGCCACUUGUUUUUCCCUCAAAGAGAAACUCAUUAGUAAAGACACUUAAGUAGUUUCAAAAUUAAUAAAGAUAAGAGAAUGUGGGCUCUGUGAGAAGUUAAAAAGUCAAUAUGACUGUGACUAAGUCAGAAAUAAAAUUUAAAAACUAAGAAUAAUAAUUUGCAUGAAGAUAUUGAAAAUUUUGUUUUGGUUCAUUUGUCUUCCAACUGGUAUUUCUAGAGGGGGGAAGCAUCCACAUUGGCUGUUAAUAUUUCCCUUGGGGCUCUGCAUUUUGCACCAGAGUACUGGUGCCUUUCUCAAGCCUCUCAAGUCCGAGGGCGUUCGCAUCUGAAUUCAAAGUGCGAUUUGUCUUUGGACAAGAUAAUGAUAAGCUAUAUGAGCAGUGCUUAGGAUGAGUCAGCUUCUGAAGACACCACGUAGAUGGUAGCCAGGCAUGGAUGUGAUGGAGAAUUCAUUUAGGACAAGGAGGAGACAGUCUGAAGUCCACAGGGCUGAACACUGCGAAUUAACCAUUUGUUCAUCAGUCAGUUCAAUUUUAAUCUGGUCUGUGGCAAGAUUAGGCAAGAAUGGGAGACCUACAAAUGUAGUUGACAUGGGAAGCCAUUUCUCCAGGGUAAGUACUGACAUCAUUUGGACUGGGUUGGGCAUUUAGGAAUCUGAUUCCCCUGAUAACAGAAGGACCUGGCUUCCACAGCAAUGCAUCAGGCCACCUGGGAAACAAAGAUACCUUAAGUCAGCGAUGUUAUAUUGGUAAAGCUUCCACUUCUUUCCUUAAGACAAAGGAUCUUCUUUAUAUUUUAAGAAUUUCUUAAUCCAGAGGUUCCCAUGUUUCUGUGGGUUUUACUUUUUCUAUUGUUUGCUCCCAUACUUCACAUUAAAUUUGAAAAACACAUUUUAAACACUAUUAUAGGCAUAUGUUAAAGGAUUGUGGAGAAUGCAAAAGAAAAGAGAGAGAGAGAGAGAAAGAAACAGAGAGGCAACACAGGCAAGACUAUGUGUGACUGAACUUAUUUACUUAUUUGUAUCUUUGUUUCUAAGUCCUGAGUUUCUUUUAAGAUGUUUUCCUGGUAAGUUCUUAAAUAUAGAUUUUUCAAUAUUUCAGGCUUAAAUUAAUUCAGAUAAUGCUAAAUUAUUGUUGGCCAUAGAUAUCGAAGUGCUCGUUAUGUGUAUUUACACUACAGAUAGACAUCUCAUAUUGACAGACUUCUAUAAAGAUCCAAUAUGAAAUGAGAUGUGACAUAAGUCACCGUGUACUUACAAAGCUUGAUAAAGAAUAAAUUCCUCAAGUAUCAAGCUCCUGCAACAGUUUUUAAUGUUGACAAGAUUGUUAUGCUACGGUCUCCAAUCCUCUCCUGUCUGGAGAUGUUUUCUUAGUACAUAAAACACAUGCAUAGCAUCUUGAGUGAACCAUUACUGGGGCAUAUUUGUGUUAUAGGAAAAGAAAAAAUGGAAUUGAAAUAAUUACACAAAACAAUUGAGGAGACAAUGAAAAAGAAGGUUUUUUGUCUUGACUAUAUGGUAUUGGCUUUCUGUAUUCAUAUUGGAUCCUUAGCUUUACCCAAUGCUUCUCCUCCUCCUCCUCCUCCUCCUCCUCCUCUUCCUCCUCCUCCUCCUCCUCCAUUUCCUCCUUCUACUUCUUUUCUAGUUGCCAGCAUAGUUCCUAGCACUGCCAGGUGGAGAGAGGAGAGUGUUAACCACCAUCUGCGGUCACAAUAGAUUAAUGUUUUAAAUUCCAUCUAUGCAUUUUUCAUGUGAAAAUCUCUCCCAGAAGUGUUUAUAACCACAUCUUAAUGCAUAUGACAAUAUGACAAACUUACAAGGUGUUUAUGUUCUAUAUAAUCAAAAUGAGAAUCAAAUGGCCACUGCAACUUAUUGAAAUGCUGAUCAUUUAAUCUAGGAGUGUCUCAUUCAAGACAUUUAUUCAUAAUUGUUCCCCAGCCAUAAAUUCACAUUACAUUUAAAAACAUUACCUCCACUCCUUUUAUUUAACAACAGAUAAUCUUAUUAGCCUUUUCUCCAGGAAAGGUGAGACAUAAAUUGCCUCUUUUAUAAACAGGGAUUCUAGCAUGUUCUCAAUUUCAUAAGACUUCAAGAUGAUAUAUGCUGUCCUUAAAAAUAAUUGGGGACAAUAUACAAAUUAAUACAGCUGUGCUAAUGUUAAAGUCAACAAUGCCUCGAGUGACAUUAAUUUAAAGAUAGUGACAUGCAACAUUUAGUUCUACUUUAAAAAGAGGACUCAAGACUUUGAAGAAGACAACAGUGACAUCAUUUUAAAUUUCAAAUAUUUUGGCAAAUUUUGUGGAGGUGGGCUGUAUUUUGAUGCAGAAACACACAAUCGAUUGAAUGUCAAAUCAUCUCUUUAUAGCUGUUUCCUGGAGACAAAUUCACAAAUUUAUCUAAAUAAAUGAGUCUAGAUUGAUUUCUUGAUUGUUGCCUUCAUCAUCCAAUUUAGCAUUGGAGCUCUUAGUAAUCUUCGUUCUUUCAUUUCCAGGUCACUGGCUGCUUGAUUAUUAUACACUAAAUACAGGAGAUAGAGGCAGAAACCAUAACCUGAAAACAAGCCAGGAAGGCAGGUUUCUGGUGCUUAACAGAUUCCCUUCAUUUUGCCUAGAUACCAACCCUUACUUCAGAACAUUCCAAUGUACUAGGUCUUUAAUGAAGAGGAAAAUAAGUUCCUUCAUCCUGGCAUUGUGUUUUAGAUGAAGAGUCACCAUAUGGGAGGGGCUGGAGAGAUGUCUCAAUGGUUAAGAGCACUGGCUGUUCUCACAGAGGAUCUGAGAUCAGUUCCUGGUAGCCACAUGGUGGCUCACGAUUAUCCAUAGGCAGGCAUGUGGUGCACACACAUACAUACAGGCAAAACACUCAUACACACAAAAUAAAUCAACUUAACAGGAAUUUAAAACUACGUAAAAGGAAUCAACAUAUGUGAGAUAAAUAUAUUUCAAUGUUUUUAAAGCACAACAUGGAACAUCCAUUUCUAAAGGCUUUUGUUUCCCAGUUUAAAUAAACUAUCUUUUGACAAGUACAGAGAACACCCAAAUGCUCAGGAUCUCAAGUCGCUUUCAGAAGGUUUCUUCAGUGUUACAGCAAUUUAGAACUACCUGGACACGAACCACAGAAUUUAAAGGACAGGCAGGUUAGUCCGGAAUCCUCAGUUUUCAAUUUACCUAUAAUAAGGUCAAUGGAAAAAUUAAAAACUGUCAAUGAUGCUCAGGUUUCUAAAAACACAGACAAAAUUCUCACAGGACAUUCUAGCAUUUAUUUGCAGGAAAACACAACGAACAAUGUCUUCUGCACGUGUUUUGCUUGUCAGUAAGCGUAACUUCGGUGGGGACUCCAGUGCAGCUGAGUGCUGUGGUAAUGACCUGAUGGCAUCAUGAGCUGAGGAGAAAACAAGCCAGUUCCCUGCUCAAGGCAGAAUUAACAUUUGUGAGGCAUUUGCUUUAGCUAAGCCCGGCUUCUCUGAAACAAAUUCCUAAAUGAACGCUAAGCAACUUGGUAUCUGGAAAUGCUACACUUUACACUUUGAUUUAUUUAUUUCUAGGAAAUGAGUCUACAUGGUUUACUGUCAGAUCAUGACUCCUUAAGCCAAUAUGGUACAAAGUCAAAACUGGUGUUGAAUUCUCCCAAACAAGUUGUGAGAAUUCUACAGGGGUUGGGCAAGGGGAAUGUUUAAGCUAACAUCACACUGCAUAGCAUCGUAGCUUCACAUCUAUGCUUUAUUUAUUAUGAAUUUAUUUAGGUGUGCUGGUGUCAGAAGAAUUUUAGGAGGUUGGAAACCCCACAGCAAAGAGAUUUUUAUUUUAUUUUAUUUUAUUCAUUCCCAAACCCCUUUAAUUUUUCCAUUAAUGUAUUUCUUUUGUAAAGACUAAAACCCUUUUCAAUCUUGAGGUUUUCACAUAUUCGUUAAAAAUGUUCUGGAAGCAUCCAGGAAUGCAGUGUUUAUCGAGCUGCAGGAGCUUGCUGUAGAAACUGGCUCGCCCCAGAAUGUCAUGUAUAUUGUAAGGAAGGCAUGUUUAGUCUCACAAUUGCUGCUUUCUCCUAGAACUAUAAAUAAGUUCUGUUUAGGAAUUCUUUUCAGCAUCAGGCAGUCAGAGAGUAGGUAUGAUGUUCCAGUUCAUGUGUCACAAAAAUUUUAAGCUCAGUGAGAUGACUCAGCUAGUAUAGGCCCCUGCCUCCAAGACUGACAACCUGAGUUCCAUCCCUGGGACCUACAUGUGGAAGGAGAGAACUGACUUGUGCAAGUUGGCUUCUGAAGGCCACUCACACACACGGUGGCAUGUGGACACACAUAUACAACAUACAAAAAAAAAAAAAAAAAGGAUGCAAGCAUUUCUAAAAACUACGUAUUUCCUAGUGCCUUGAUAUAAUUAUCCUUCUACAAUUGAUUUUUAUAUCUGUGUGGAAGUCAGGAGCAAAUAUAUUUUGAUGUUAGUGGAGUUUGGUGUUGAAACUCAGGUCAGAACUAGUGACGAGGAUGUGUUCACAGGUAGGCUAGGACCUCAUGUGACAAGAGCAGAAAUAGCUGAGUGAAAAGAAGGACCUUCCUCCCCAGGAAGUGUUUGUGGCCUCCCUCAGAUUCUUUAAACAGAAUCUGCAUUAUCAUCAAAGAUUCCCUGAGAUAAAGCUUGCCUUCUCUACCUCCACGUCUCAAUUCUCCACUCAUCUCCUGACACAGAGCUGAUCACCUCCUGAGACAGAGCUGAUGACCUGAAUUGCUCUUUGGUCUAGAUGUCUAGGCUUCUUCCUAAGAGUAAGGAACAAACUGGGGGAUGCUGGCUUAGUUGUUAACCCAUGAACCCGCUCUCCAGUCUUAAUAAUCCACUGGUUAAAUAACUAGCAAUUUAGUUGACUACUAACUGCUCUGUUCCCCAUUUAGAAAAUGGAAUGAGGCUUGCAUUGCCUUCCAGGAUUAACAACCCCUGACACAGAGCAUGGAUCCACUAAAAGGAAACCUUUGUCCUUUCACAUAAAAACACUAGGCAGAGAUAUUUCGUUACAUAAAUGAAACACAGCUCUCUUAGUUUUUUUUUAUUUUUUUAUGUCUAUGCUUUGCCUGCAAGUGUCAUUCUGGAGCCUGCACAAGCGGCUUUCAUAUCCCCUGCAACUGUGAACUCCCACAUGGGUGCUGGGAAUUGUGCCUGGUUCCUCUAAUAGAACAACCAGUGUUCUUGAUCUAACACAACUUCCUUUUUUAAGAAAGUAUUUUAAAAGAAAGGGUUCAGAACCUCUCCAUUAAUAGCCCUUCCUUCCUUUCUUUUCUUCCUUCCUUCCUUUCUUUCUUUUUACAUUUUGGGUUUUUCAGACAGGCUCUUAGUAUGUAUCACAAGCUAGCCUAGAACUCAUUAUCCUCAUGACUCCCAGAUGUUGGAAUUGCAAACAUGCCGCUAUGCCCACCUGCCAAAUAUGAUAACCAAUUUCAGUGGUUAAAAUUAAUGAGCAGCUUAGUACUUUCUGCCUAUGACUUAUCAGAGGCUGAGUUAGUAACUAAAUCCCAGGGGUACUGAUUGUGGAAAGAGCACCAUUUCUCACAAGGUCCCACCUUCCUUCGGUUCCUAAGGGAAGAGAUGUCAGCCUAAGAGUUCCCCAAACCAAGUAUUUGUUCAGGGCAUUUUACUCUGCAAUUUCUAACAACUAAAAGGGAAAGCCCAAUCUUAGACCUUUGAGCAGGUGGUUGUUGAGAUGGCCCCACAAAGGCAUGACUUCACAGUCAAUCCUAGGUAGGAGAGUUUGUCAACAGAGUUCAGGUGGCAUGGGAGAUUAAAAUACAGUGUUCUAAUCUAGGACAAAGAGAAUAGUUUGGAGGUUCCCAAGCAGCUCCUGUCCUUCCCCUGACUCCAGCUUCCUGUCUCCCCGACUCUGGACAGAGCAGCUGAGAUGGCCUCUGGUCUCGAAGCGGCUGUGGGGAUAAUUUUGCUCAGUGAGUCAGCACUGUGACUGUGAGUACGGCCAGAGUAGGAAGGACACUGCUGUCAUGAUGGGGGUUCCCACUUAGUUCCCCUAACAGGAAGUAGAGAAACCACAAACGGUACUCAAUGCAGGAGAGUGUAGGCUGCACAUGGCAGCAAAUGCAUUUGAUAAUCGCUUCGUAUUCUCUAUUGAAAUUUGGAUAUCUUCCAUUUUUUCUGGUGGAAAUCAAGUAAUCAGUUAUCCAAUGAAAAUUCUCAGAAGCCUGAGGGUGUGAUUACAAACCUUUCCUAUUACAAGACUUGCUGGUAACAAAUCAAAGAAAUACAUGGCUACAUAGAUGCAUAUAAAUACAGAGAGUGUGUGUUAAAAUCAACAGAAUACUCUUUAUCCCAAACAGCCAACUCCCUCAAAUAUUUUUUCAUAGUCCUAAGCAGUUUCAGGCCAGUAUAGUGAUUAUAUAUGGUAGUUAUUUAACCAUAGUUUACUGAAUUAAACUGAAUUUGACCUUUGUUAUCGAUUGCAGGUCAUAUUUGGGGUUUUUUAAUCAGUCCCACUGAAGUUUUAAUUGUAUUUCCUUCAUGAAUUUCAGCUCUAGCAGAUCUGAGGGCUGUCUUUCUGAAAAAGAACAAAGAGUUGCUUUAGAGAUUUUUUUCCUUUGCUGUUUCAAACAAGUUUCUUUUCUUAUUUCAGUAAGCAAGUAGGAAUUCUGUGACAAUCAUAAGCCCCCUGCUCCACCCCCAGUGUCAGCCUGCUGAAACCCAAUGCCCACCUGCACCGGAGAAAGUUACAGUUAAUGCCCAGCAAGUAUUGGAGGUGAUGAGGCAAAAGCAAGCACACAGUUCAGAAUUCUUGGCUCAUGGUGCUGGAGACAUCUGGCCUUUCCCGGAUAUGUGCUUAUGAAGGGAUUAAGUCUGGCUUGUCGGGGAAGGGUCAGUCCCAAGGACUGGGCAAGUGGGCAACCUGUAGCAGAAGGCAAGCUCAGAGGUAGAGAGCAGAGAGCUCUUAUCCACCAGGGCUUCCAUAGGCAAGACUACUUUUCUGAAACCACAGGAGGGCUGAUCUCUUCCUGUCUCUUGAGAGGACAAUAGAGUUAACCAGACUUAAACACCAGUAAUCCUCUCAGCACCACUGAUGACUGCUUUACUUUCAACUAUAAGGGUCAAUUUGAGAUAGAUAAAUACAUAGAUGACAGAGAGACACACUUGUGAUAGAUGGUUGCAUAGAUAUGUAGAUACCUAGAUGAUAGGUACAAAUAAUCACAUAUUUACAUAUAAUGUAUGAUUAUAUAUAAUACAUCUCUAUGUAUAUAUAUGUAUACAUAUAUGUGUAUAUAUGUAUAUGUACAAACACACACACACACAUAUAUAUAAGACUAUUUCAAAUUAAACUGUAGGUUGUUCUAAAGAUAGCUCAUUCUUUAAAUUUGUUAUGAGGCUUUAUAUCCAUGUGUUAGAGAAAAGACAUUGAAAAGUGGGUCCAUAAAAAAAAAUCAUCUAACUGCUCUCAAUAGAUACCAGCUUGCUGUCUGCACUUAAAAGGAGGUAGAAUUAGAUACAGUUCUGUAGGGAGUCCCAGAGGAAGAAUGAUCUAGCCUGCAGGUUACCUGCCAAGCACAGCAUUUGCAACAGAUAAUUGCAUUAUAUUUUGUACUAUAAUGUGUAUAUUCAAAAUUCUUUUAUGUCAUUUUGUAUGUAUGUGUUCUUGUAUGCACAUGUGUAUGCUGGUAUGUGGUAGGGCAGAGAUUGGCAUCAGGAUGUCUUAUGUUCUGAGACAGGAUCUCUCUCUCUCUCUCUCUCUCUCUCUCUCUCUCUCUCUCUCUCUCUCUCUCUCCCUGAGCUUGGAGCUCCCUAAUUCAGCUAGAUUGGCAGGCCAGCCAGCUACUGAGAGCUCCCAGCCUGCUGGCAGUGGGACUACAGGUACCAGGCGCCCAACACACCCAGCUUUUCACUGGCAUCUGGUCUCAUUAUCACCUCACCUUACCUCAGGAAGGUCCUCAGGCUUGCACAGCAAGUACUUCAUCACCUGAGCCAUUGCCAGCUACCCCAGAGCCCCCUCCUCCUCAUCGUCAUUGUCCUAAUCCUCCUCCUCCCUCCUCUCCUUUUUCAAUGCAGUUCUUUCCAUAGGUAGAGAGAAAACAUCCAAUCAAGUUGUUGUGAUUUAAAAAUCAGCAUGAGAGAGAAAGACUCCAUUCAACAGAGCUUGGGUGGAGGGGUUUUUUAUUAGGAAAAAGGGAAUGGGAAAAGGUGGAGGGGAGAAGGGAGACUAGCCUCUGGGGAUGGGAGCAGCAGAAAAGAGAGACAGGGCCAGGGGUAACAGAGAGACAGGCAGAGAGAGGAAGAGAGAGACAGAACACACACACACACACACAGAGAGAGAGAGAGAGAGAGAGAGAGAGAGAGAGAGAGAGGAAGUGAGAGGGAGGGAGAGAGAUGGAAGGUGAGCAGAGUCCUUUUAAAAAGGAAUAUAGUAAAUGUGCACAGGUGGUGUUCUUAAUAACUGCAACUGAGGACAUAUCCCAUCAGAACCCCAAGGGCAGGCCAGUACAGAUGCCUGAAUACUAACAAAAGUUGGCUUUGUGAAAUCAUUCUCUGCGUACGACUUUAGGGUGAUGCUUUAUUGAUGUGAGGCUCAUAGGAUCAAGUAAAGGUAAUGACCAAAACAAAACAGGAAAUGGCAUCUGGAGUCACUGCCCCAGCUUGGUUCAUGUCCAACAGACGCCCCUUGAGUGGAUGGCAAGGCCUGACAUUUUCUAAGCCAGCUCGGCAGAGACACCUUGAAUAAGAGACUGGGUAAGAAUGAUUCAGAAAUCCCGACCCACACAGAAUUCCACCCAGAACUUCAUUACCUGCUAACCUGACUCAUCUGAGGUGAGACCAUGUCUUUUUUGCUAAUUCACAAAGGAAGUUAACCAGGCUUCCUCCCAGUUACAUCUUGGGAUAACUUUGAGUUGAAUUCUAGUACCCGUCCAGGUGUGAUUUGGAUUACUAUCUAAGAAUUGGAAACGAUCUUAAAUAAAACACGGUGCAUAGAUUUGGGGCUCGUGCCAUGGCAGAGAAAACCCAUUAAUCUAUCUAGUACAUGCUGUUUGUAAAAUCAGAUUCAUUCAUUGGAUUUAGCCAGACAAGAGAGCUCUAAAUUUAUAUUUUCCUAAAGUCACCAGAAAACAUGACCUUAUUGUGUUGACCUCACUGUGCAAAUAGAUGCUCUGAUGUUUUAAGAUGAGAAACUAUUGUAUGUUUCCUUGCUGAUUGAUAAGUUCUUCGGAUCUCUGCAAGGACCAGCUGGUUCCUUGCUUUGCCAGUGUGUGCACAGCAUGGAGAGACAGACCCCCAACCUGCAGAUCUGGGUCUCAUGAUGUGUUUUACUGUGUCUACAUGAGUUUACACCUAGAAUAUGGAAUCAACAGAGAGCCCAAGUAGUUCAUGGAUGAAUACUGGCAAAGAUUUUAAAAAGAGAAGAAGGAAAAGGAAGAAUAUGGUAUUUUUCUGAGCUGGUUAGGGUAGCUACCUGUGACCAUUUGUGGUGGCAACUGUACUUACCUCUGCCUUGAUUAGCUCAUUAGUAGCAUUGUUCUGCUCUGUGGGAAUGGCUUGCCUUUUAUGCUUGGAAUUGCCUGGUUCCUCCAGGUCAAAAAAAUUUUUGUCAACCUGGAGAACCAAAAAACAAAACAAAACAAAACAAAACAAAACAAAAAAAUGUCUGUAGGCUGUUUGAAUUGCUUGCUAACGCCACAUGGACAAAGAUAAGUAAAAUUCUGUGUUUUUCUAUUGAUUCUGAAUUUGCCUUUUAGCCAUUUGUGACCAGAUCUUUUUAAGAGUCAUCAUUUCCUCUGUUGUUUUGUGCUCAACACUCUGGCGUGUGUGUGUGUGUGUGUGUGUGUGUGUGUGUGUGUGUGUGUGUGUGUGUGUGUGGUGCCCUAGCUGCCCUGCCUUCUGGUUGUAAUCACACAAUGUUAGUAUCUCUGAUGUGGUAUCUUUUUUUUUUCCUAGGGAAAUAAGACAAAAGCUCGUUUCAUUCCUUUAAUGAUCUUUUUUAUGAUAGGAACUGUUCUGCAUUAUGUAAUUGUCAUUUAAAAAGACACACACACACACACACACACACACACACACACACAAACAUUUAAGUUGUAUAAUCUAGAAGGGUGUCAAUGAAAAUUCCAGGGUCAAGGAAGGUUAUAUAAUGGAAUUCUGGUGCAGAAAGAAAGCAAGGAAACCUGAUACAAGUGGGUUUCCUUUGCCUAGUGUGGCUGCUGUCCUGGGUGUGUAUAAUACCCUGUGCCAUUGGCCCCUACUUUUCACCUGUUCUACUGCCAUGGUUUCUCUUGAGGUUGCUGACUGAUAAUUUACCCAGCUCGAUUUGAGUCUCAGCCCCCUCCUCUUUCUCACCUGCCCAAGAUGGAGAUGGGGAGUUUGGGGCUCCUUUAUGGAGUCUUGCAUAUAAAUACUUCCCACGCAAUUAGGAAUCCGAGCUUCUCUCUCUUUACUACUCAUGGACUGGCUGUCAAUGAAAACAGACCAGUGUGUAGCUCCACUUGCUGAGCAUGUUCAAGGCCACCUUGGAUUCCAUCCGAAACACCACACAAAAGAGGAGAAAAAACUAGAGGAUGCGAGAACUCAGGAGGAUGUGAUACUUUAUUGUUUUAAAUGCUAUAAAGUUAUAGUUUGAGAAUGCUAUGCGAUGAUCUGUCCAUAGACAACUGAAAAAUGAAAAAUGGAAUGAACUUAAGGAGUGGCCAGAGUCUUGCUUCUGAAAAGGGUUAGCAAUAUAUUAUAUAAUUGCAAUAAGAAACAACAACAAAGGACAGGAAAAAAAAUGACUCCUCCACUCCAAGUCAACAUUUGAAGUUACCAUAAAGACUAACUCGACUCAGGCUGCUGGUUUAGAGAUCCAACAGUUUAUACUUAGGAAUAAAUAAACAAAUGCCCACAGAAUAAGGAAUUAUAGAAAAACAACUUUUUUUGGGGGGGGGAAUGAGCAAAAUUAGAAAAUAAAUGGUUCUGUAGAUGUGUAUAAAGUAAAGAGUAAAACUUAAAGAAAAAUGAACUUUUCCAUUUUUUCCCCCUAAAGGGCUCUCACAUUUAAGACUUCCAAAUUCAUGCCACGAGGUACCAGAUUUUGGUUCUUUCCAGUGAAAGCAUCUUGCCUGAGCCUGCAGAUUCACAUUCUAAGCAAUCCUUCCCUGCGUUCUGUCACCUGCACAAGAGCUAUGACAGGCAGGUAGAAGAACUUAUUUUUAUCCGGCUGCCAUCAUGUAUGGGUGCAUUUUAUUGAUGCUGGGGGUAAAAUUGCCCAUUUUAGAUGACCUCCUUCUCCCAACAUUAUCCUCUAGGACACUUAAUUGAGAAUUAGCCAGCACAAUCCCCCUUAGAUAUCGCUGGUCCUCAGAGUGUUUUCGAGCAAGCAGACUCCCCAACACCUGGGAUGCAGGUGUGCUUGGGCAGCGUGUCAGCUUUCUCCCUGUGUUUGGCACAGGGUGACGGUUACUCUGCAGAUGUUCAGGAUCAAGGUGGUAUUUUUCUCUCUCUCUUUCAACCCUCCAGAGUCAGUUUCUCAAACAAAGGAAGUGGUGAGGCUAACAGAAGUCACAGCGUGACCCUGAAAUAAAAGUUAAGUGUAAUAGGUACAGCGAGCCUGUUUAUCAAGUGUUUGUGAAAGGCAGUAUUAUUAAAAUAUUCUCGCAUGGAAAUUCAGAGACAGUGCUUAAUUUUUGCUAAUGAGAUGUUAAAUCUUAUUUAAUGACCUGAAGCAAAGGAACAACUCCAAAAAUCUUAUUUAUUUUCCCACUUAGCUAAGCUGAAGAAAUACAGAACUGUAGAAAUAUUCAUUAAGGGUAAAUAGAUUUAUUUUCUCCAAUAUACUUUAUAAGAUAUACAGAUAACACAUUGCUUCAAAAUUUUUCAUUUGUCUAUUUCAUCAUAGGCAUUAGGUAACACUACUCGCAUCGGCAUCCACCCAAUAUGAGGAAGUUAGUUUAAUUUUAAAGUCAAGAAACUCUUUUUGAAGGGUGAAGAGAAGAAACAAUACAUAUACAUAAACCGAUAAACACAUAUAUUUCUAUGCUGAUACAUACACAUGCAUAUAUACACAUAUAUAAAUAUAUAAACUACAUUGUAGGAUUUAUUUAUAUGCGUGUAUAAAUUUGAAGCCUCAUUAUCUUAUGAACAUAUUAAUCUUUGCUAUUAAAAAGUCUGUGGUAUAGAGCACACUGAUUUUAUGUUCCUUUUGCAUUUUCUUAUUCUACCACUAAUGCAUAAUAACCCAUUAAGACAGUUACAGAACAGAAUCAAGGAGGUAAUAGAAUUUCAUGUCCCAAACCCUUGGCCCAAUAAAAGUGGAAAAACAAAUAGAAGGUAAGAAGUUUCAAAUACCAGCUUAAGGAUAUUCAUACAUUCGAUGUUUGGCUUUAUAUCCCAACCCCAGAGACCAAUAUGAACACUAAAUGUGAACACUAUUUUCUGUCUUUUAGGCUCACUGGUGACUCAGGGGGCAUAGGUUAGCACUUGUGAGCUAUGCUUUUCCGUAAGGGAGCGCUAGUGCACUGGACUCAUGUGUUUCCUUAGGUCAUCUCCAGGGGAGACCUCAGACUGUGGCUCUUUGUCUUCUGUCACACUAAGGAGACUUCUGGCCAGGAUUGUUUCUCAAGCCUGCACAGACACCAGCAGACAUGAGGGGUUUUAUGAAACACAGAGCAUUCUAUCUCAGUAGGUUGGGUGGGGCUCAGAUCUGAGCUUCCAACAGGAUUCCAAAGGAAGCUAGUGUAAUUGGUCCACGAAUCACAAGUUGAGAACAAGUUAUUUAAAACCUAAAGUUUCUUCACAGAAUGCAGAGUUGGCAUAACCAAUGGAAGCCCAUAACUUCAUGGACUGAAAUCUUAAAGGAGUAAUGGGAAAACCUCAGAAACAGAGCAGUUUCCAGCCUGGCAUGGUGGCUCAUGCCUGCAAGCCCAGCAGCGUUCAAAAGACACCUUCCCAAAGAAGCUAGUGCCCCUGUGAAAUACCUAUAGUAUUUGAAGCCAUGGAGGCCUCUAGAAAUGGCUGGAAGGUAGGGCCUCUGGAAGGGUUUGAAGUUCAUUGUAACCAAAGCUGUCAUUAAGGAGUGGGGGCCACACAACUGCUGAAUGGAUGCAUGCAGUUUUCUCUGUGAAAGACAGGCGGUGGCUAAGCCAUAUACAAUGCUAACCAGGUGAUAUGGGAACUCAUGAUGACCAUUUUCACAUGAGGAAACUGAGUCACAGAGGGCAACUACUGAGUCAGAGGUAGAGUUAGGCUUCCAGUCUCACUUGAGGUUGGAAACUGAAGUUUAGCGUUCUCUACAUUUUUCUCCUGUGACAUCAGCCUGUUCAUGCUCCCCCACCCCAGUUCACUCCCAGCCCAUCAGAGCUGAUGGCUUCUAUAAGCCUUGUCUAGAACUGAUCUUGCUGAAACCCUGGGGAGGACUUUCAGACACAGGAAGCUGUUGGACAAUGUGACUCUGUCUGUGCACCCACCUGUGUGGCCACAGCUACAGCUGUGACAGAAGGAAACACCCAGUAACGAGGGGCUCCACAGUGGAAGAGCAAAUGCUACAGGAUGUCCUGGGAUGCUCUCGUCUUGCGUAACCAGCAGGGCACUCUCUGCCAGCCACAGCAGAUGCUCCAUGACGGAAUGCAGAGUGCAUCCUAGAGGAAGCUGGGCAAGGGACCUGCGGCUGACCUGGUGUGGCUGUUUCUUCAGGCGGCACCUGAAGGCACAGGACAAGAAGGGCCAGCUUCACCCUUUCUCUGACAUGUCUGGUGGAACAGCUUGGAGGAGAUGAAGCAGCUAUCCAGGUGUUAGUGGCAGAGAGUUUUCUUUAAGCUCAAACCAGUGGUUUCUCUUAGGCUCCAGUGAGGCUCCCACAGAAGUCUGUUCACCAGUCACAGUUUCCAUCAACCCAGUCCUUGGGGAUGGCUAUGAACUGAGGUCAGCCUGCCUUAGAGUCUAACUCUUCAAAGACUUCGCCAAGCUCAGUGGCAACGGUAAGAUAUGGCAAACCUUAGAAAAACCCUUCCCUAAACAUGGUCACAUGUUAGCUUAGAGGCUCUACUAGCAUUUGGUGUUUCUGACUGAAGGGUUUCUUAUUGUUAGCCAUGCUGCAGGAGACACAGAUGUGUGCUUCGGGUGUGUGGGGGAGAAAGCCUCACUUGUGGAAAGCAAUUGCAUGUUUCUUCGGGUUGCAAAAAUGACACUGGUUAAUAAGGUAAAAUGCACUGUGGUGUGGCUUCCUCUUUCUGCAAUUAGUAAUGAUGGCUGUGAGUGGCUGUUGCAUUCAUUUUGAGUAAACACAACCCAGGUGUGUACAUGGAAGGAUGAGAUAGAAAGCAAUGGGCAGAGCAUGGGUUUGCAGAGCACAGGGAUGACUCCAGUUUCCUCUGACCUUGGACAAGGACUCGUUCUUUUUAAUCUCAACAAUCCCUUCCUUUUCUCUCCUUUCCCUACCUCCAUCUUACCCUCCCCUCCCUCCGUCCCUCCCUUCUCCCUCUUUUCUGACUUCUCCUUCCUUCCCUCUCUAUAGCUUUCUUUCCUUCCUGCCUUCUUUCUUUGUCUUAAAUCUCGUUCAUUCAUUCACUCACUCAUUAAAUAAUUGAUUUGUGUGUGCUGUAACCUAGGCAUGCCAUGACUCGUGAGGACAAUUCUCAGGAGUCAGUCCGUCCUUCCCCAUGUGGUUCCUCAGGAUGGAACUCAGGUCAUUAGGGUUGACAGCAAGCAUCUUUACCACUGAGUCAUCUUGUCAGGCCUCUUUUUGUUUUGUGUUAUUUUUACUUUCUUCCUCUUUUUUGUUUCCAUUUUCCCUUCUUUGUUAUGUAUAAGUAAGUUAUAUCAAGCACUAAAAAUACCGUUUAUAAAAUGAUCCUUUGGGAGCUUGGCACAUGAAAUAUAAAUGAAGCCACAAUAGCUGUUGUUUUUAUGAGAUGUGUAAAUGCUUCUGUGUUAAAGGUGAUUCAAAUAUGACAUGACCAGUGAUGGGGUUGUGAUCACCACCAUAGAAACACCAAACUUGUGGUUCACUUCAUCACAAGUAUGCAGCAUCUUUGCCUUGUCUGUUGUGUAGGAAAGAUGGGCCCAAGUUCCUUUUCCUUAGAGCAUGUCAGUGAGUCUGGUGAGGACCAGAAGUGACCUAGUCCAGUUUAAUUCCAAGACCUGUAUAGAGGUAAAUGCUUAUCUUUCUAUGGAGGCUAAGAUCCUCUCGGACACUCUAUAUUUUGAACCACUCCUUGCCUGUGACUCUAGUGUGCGUGGCUGAUGCGUUCUGUGCCUACUUUCAGAACUCUGCAAAUGUUGGUCACAGUGUACAUGCCGAGAGAAUACCCAGCCAAUCUUCUGCAGCUGGGAAGAGCAAUUAGCAGCUUCGUGAAUUAGGGUCUUGUUUAUGCUGCUGUCCAAGAUAAUCAUCUGUUUGUUUUAACUAAGAUGCUCUGCCUUCAUCAGCGGCAUCAAGCCUCAUAGUUUAAUGAUAAGGCCUUUGAAUCUCACAAUAGUGUUUGGAUUUUUCCGAGGGAACCCCAAAAUAGCUUGCAUUUUCUCUUGGUGACUCUGGAAAUCAACACACAAUGUGCAUAUGUAUCUUCAAUCAUUUUGCCUUCAUCUCAAAGAGAAAGGGAAACACACAGAGAUCCACAGCAGAAACUCUUUCUGGACACUCCCAUUAAAAAAUAUCUUUCAUUUGGAAUCCCCUGCACCCCCCAACACAUGCUUGCACAUUUAUGUGAGUUAAAACUUUAUGAGUCACAGCCUUAGCAAAGAUAACAUACACUAACUCUCCUUCUGUGGUCAGACUUGCUCUAUAGCCAUCUGUGGCCUCUAUUUAUUUCAAUGUAAAGAUCCAGCUGGGGAAGUAGCUCAGUUGGUAGAUGGCAUGAGGGAAGCCCCCAUAUGGAAUGUAUACCUAGCACUCUGUACACAGGGCAUGGCAACCCCAGAGCUUGGGAGGUAGAGGUAGGAGGAUCAGAAAUUCAAGAUCAACCUCAACCUCAGGUUUAAGGCUGCUAUGGGAUAUGUGAAGCCUCUUUUUAGAGAGCAGGGAGGGAAGAAUGGGGGAGGUAACCUAAUAAACAAUUAGGUUACAGCCAAUCUUCAUGACAUGUUGGCAGGUCACACCUAACUGAAGCACAGUGACCCACAUAUGUGUUUACUUAGGGUCCCCUCUGGCCUCCCACAGUCUACAGAACAGAACUCUUCUGGUCAUAAGACAGUCUUAGUGUUGGUUAGAAUUGAUAUUGUCUCACUGAGUGAAAACCAGUCUUGGAAGACAAACAUCAUGCUACUCACUAGAUUAGUAUUUAUUGAUGAGACUUAGGAUUUAUCUGGGGAAACUCUGGUACAAGUCAGUAGCUGACUGAUGCCCACUUGUGCCAGUAAAGGAUUGCUUGUGUGAGUUGGUCCAGACAUAUCUGAAAGAUAUUUCAUGAUUCCAAUUUUGUCCUUCAGUCACAGCAACAAGCUCGAAUUAGUUUAUAUCUUUAAAAUCCAUCUUAGAAUAUUAAAAAAACAAAAACAAAUAGCCAAUGUGUAAACAAACACAAAACCUUAAGUUUUUAGAAACAUUAUUUUCCUAUCAGAGUCCAGAUUCUUUUCUGGGUCCUUGGCACCCAGAUGUGAGAAAGCCUGGUUACUGGCCUUGGGAAGCCUAUGACUCUGGGACCCUGUCUCUGAGGUGCAGUGGAGAUGUGAAGCCUGAUAGGAGCAUUUGGGUGAACUCAGGGACAGCCAGGGGAUUUGUUAGGGAGGUGACUCCUGAGUCACUCUGUGGGUUAGCACAGGUUAGUGCACAACAGCCAUCUGUCACCAACAGUGGGAUGGAUUUAUUAGAGGAGGGGAAACUGGAGGUUGGAAGUGGGUGCCAUACAUUUCUCCCUGGCACGGAGGCUCUCCCCCAAAGCCUGUACCCUCCAGGGGCGGCUGGGUCAGGAUGGCCUGGGUGGGGUCGGGGGGAGGGACAAGGACGCCUGUGUAUAUAGAGAGUAAGGUCUUGUAAUAAAACAAGAUUGCUUCAUGACAGGUGAGCAUUGCUCCAUCUGCUGGCGCAGGGAAGCAUGAGUCAAACUGCCAGGGACAGGGCAGAGUUCCUGCAGGCAGGGACAGGCCUUCCUGGCUUCAUUCUACCAGACUCGGCUCUGGACUUUCUUCCCUAAACACAGCCUUGGCAGAAACAGUUUCAGAGGUGACCACAAUGCACUGAUCCCAAAUGAACAAGGAUUCUGUGAAAUGCUUCCUUGGAAGCAGUUGUCUUCAUUUUCUCCAGGGGACACAGGACACUAGUCAAUUCACACCUCUGAAAAGGGAGCAUGGUGACAUCUAUAACAGGUGGCAGGUCACCAGAGGACCUCCUGCUCUUGGCUUUACCUUGCUGUUGGCAUAGUCUCUCUGGAAGCCAGCAGCCUGAGCCCUGACUGAUUCUCUGCCACAAACCCUAAGUCUCAGUGUCAGCUUUGACCUUCCUUUUUCCUCUUUCAAGCCAUCUCAGACAUUGCAUGCAGCCGGUGUCCUCACCACAGGAUGGCCACACCAUCUCUAAAGAAAGGGCUAGAGCAAGAGGUUCAAGCUUGGACUCAGGCAAGGGCCGGGCAGGAGGAUGGCUGCUGCUGACUCUUGGGUAUGUGAUAACUAGUCACACCAUUUUCAAAUUUUACAUCCUGAUGGGAUUCCAAAAGAGAAUUACUAACCACCGACUAAGGAUGCUGAGUAACUGUUCAUGCUAUUAGAUGUAAGGGAAAUUCUGUUUUUAUUCAUUUGAAUCAUGAAUUAGUCUGUUU
ensembl:lncRNA